rnacentral:rRNA from 1 species
AUUGAACGCUGGCGGCAUGCCUUACACAUGCAAGUCGAACGGUAACAGGUUAAGCUGACGAGUGGCGAACGGGUGAGUAAUAUAUCGGAACGUGCCCAGUCGUGGGGGAUAACGUAGCGAAAGCUACGCUAAUACCGCAUACGAUCUACGGAUGAAAGCGGGGGAUCGCAAGACCUCGCGCGAUUGGAGCGGCCGAUAUCAGAUUAGGUUGUUGGUGAGGUAAAAGCUCACCAAGCCUGCGAUCUGUAGCUGGUCUGAGAGGACGACCAGCCACACUGGAACUGAGACACGGUCCAGACUCCUACGGGAGGCAGCAGUGGGGAAUUUUGGACAAUGGACGCAAGUCUGAUCCAGCAAUGCCGCGUGCAGGACGAAGGCCUUCGGGUUGUAAACUGCUUUUGUACGGAACGAAAAGGACUGCCCUAAUACGGUGGUCCCAUGACGGUACCGUAAGAAUAAGCACCGGCUAACUACGUGCCAGCCGCCGCGGUAA